UACGGGGGGGGCAAGCGUUGUUCGGAAUUACUGGGCGUAAAGGGCUCGUAGGCGGCCAACUAAGUCGGAUGUGAAAUCCCCAGGCUCAACCUGGGAACUGCAUCCGAUACUGGAUGGCUUGAAUUCGGGAGAGGGAUGCAGAAUUCCAGGUGUAGCGGUGAAAUGCGUAGAUAUCAGGAGGAACACCUGUGGCGAAAGCGGCGCACUGGACCACAACUGACGCUGAGGCGCGAAAGCUAGGGGAGCAAACAGG
rnacentral:rRNA from 1 species